CAAAACAGUCUGUGUGUUUGUUAAUGUCAGCAAUGUCGUGCCAAAUGCAUAACAAUGUCAAUAAUGUAUGUGUCUUUUAAAUUCCCUACAAUAUUUUAAAUCCCCUACAACUGUAUGUGUCUAUGCCAGACCUUUCUGAUUGUUUUUUUUUCUAUUUGAAUUUUUAUGAUUCAUAUUACUGAUCUUUUUAAUAAAAUUUUGUUGUUAAGGUCUUUCCCCUACCUGGGAAAGACCUUAUUGUUUUUCUAAUGUUUUUUUUUUCUUCCAACAUUUUUUUGACAUGCCCUCCCCCCGUUUCUAUUGAAGUCAUCAAGACCAAAUAUUGACCAUCGAUAGAUCUCAUUAUGACGUAUUACCAGAUGAGGCUGUGUAGGAUUUCAUCAUCCCCUUUGAGAGUUAUAUCCCCUUGAAGCACUUUUUUUAUUUGCAUUUUUCUUAAAAAGUAUUAGAGAUAGAAUAGAAUUGAAAAUGACAGCAUGUACAGGAACAGAUGGCAAUGUUAAUAAACAUAAAAAAAUUGUAGGUUAUUUACCCUGAUAAGAAGUUAUUUCCCUUGAAAAAUUAUACAUUUUUGGGAAAAUUAUAUUUCGAGAACCAGAAGUCGUAGAGACUUGGGACCUUCACCAAUAUUCUUUAAUUCAUGUGACCUUUAAUUUGCAUCAAGGUCAAAGGUCACCGAGUGCAAAAAGAAAUUACGCUGCAAUUUCAAGCUUGCAUAUUAAGAAAACUAUAAGAGUUUGCUGCACUCAUACUGUGUAUAAAAUGUUCCUCUCGACGAGCUCUACAUUUUAUACAUUAAGCUAAAAGAUGUCCGACUGUCUGUUCAAAAGUUACAACAACAUAAUUCUUAAAACUAUAGUAACAAGUGUAUAUCUUUUAAAAGGUAACAGAUAUCAACCUACUAUAAACUGCAAAGAUGAUCAGUAAUUCAAGACCUUCAAUUUGAGGUCAAUAUCAGGUCAUGAUGAAAUUUCACCUUGACCUUCACAGUAUACAAUGACCUUGAACUUGUGAUAGUUGAAAGGUUAAGUGGUCCUGAGUUGAAUGGUGCUAGUCCCAUGUCUCUACGACUUCCGGUUCUUAAGUUUGGUAUUGCAUCACAUAUUUGAUGAUUAAUUGUGACCCUGAUGAACUUUGAAAUUGUCCCAAUUCUUUUUUUAUAAUGUUGUCCUUCAACUGUAGAUCAUUUAUCAUUUAACAGAUUUGAGAUAUCUAUUGUCGUUUUAGAGAUAAUGCAGUUUGAAGUUUUUCGAGCAGAUGCAUGUAUUUCUGAAUCAACAAGAGCUUACCACUUAAAAUGUUUAAGAAAU
rnacentral:lncRNA from 1 species